rnacentral:rRNA from 3 species
AAAUUGAAGAGUUUGAUCAUGGCUCAGAUUGAACGCUGGCGGCAGGCCUAACACAUGCAAGUCGAACGGUAACAGGAAGCAGCUUGCUGCUUUGCUGACGAGUGGCGGACGGGUGAGUAAUGUCUGGGAAACUGCCUGAUGGAGGGGGAUAACUACUGGAAACGGUGGCUAAUACCGCAUAACGUCGCAAGACCAAAGAGGGGGACCUUCGGGCCUCUUGCCAUCAGAUGUGCCCAGAUGGGAUUAGCUUGUUGGUGAGGUAACGGCUCACCAAGGCGACGAUCCCUAGCUGGUCUGAGAGGAUGACCAGCCACACUGGAACUGAGACACGGUCCAGACUCCUACGGGAGGCAGCAGUGGGGAAUAUUGCACAAUGGGCGCAAGCCUGAUGCAGCCAUGCCGCGUGUAUGAAGAAGGCCUUCGGGUUGUAAAGUACUUUCAGCGGGGAGGAAGGUGUUGUGGUUAAUAACCACAGCAAUUGACGUUACCCGCAGAAGAAGCACCGGCUAACUCCGUGCCAGCAGCCGCGGUAAUACGGAGGGUGCAAGCGUUAAUCGGAAUUACUGGGCGUAAAGCGCACGCAGGCGGUCUGUCAAGUCGGAUGUGAAAUCCCCGGGCUCAACCUGGGAACUGCAUUCGAAACUGGCAGGCUUGAGUCUUGUAGAGGGGGGUAGAAUUCCAGGUGUAGCGGUGAAAUGCGUAGAGAUCUGGAGGAAUACCGGUGGCGAAGGCGGCCCCCUGGACAAAGACUGACGCUCAGGUGCGAAAGCGUGGGGAGCAAACAGGAUUAGAUACCCUGGUAGUCCACGCCGUAAACGAUGUCUACUUGGAGGUUGUGCCCUUGAGGCGUGGCUUCCGGAGCUAACGCGUUAAGUAGACCGCCUGGGGAGUACGGCCGCAAGGUUAAAACUCAAAUGAAUUGACGGGGGCCCGCACAAGCGGUGGAGCAUGUGGUUUAAUUCGAUGCAACGCGAAGAACCUUACCUGGUCUUGACAUCCACAGAACUUUCCAGAGAUGGACUGGUGCCUUCGGGAACUGUGAGACAGGUGCUGCAUGGCUGUCGUCAGCUCGUGUUGUGAAAUGUUGGGUUAAGUCCCGCAACGAGCGCAACCCUUAUCCUUUGUUGCCAGCGAUUAGGUCGGGAACUCAAAGGAGACUGCCAGUGAUAAACUGGAGGAAGGUGGGGAUGACGUCAAGUCAUCAUGGCCCUUACGACCAGGGCUACACACGUGCUACAAUGGCGCAUACAAAGAGAAGCGACCUCGCGAGAGCAAGCGGACCUCAUAAAGUGCGUCGUAGUCCGGAUUGGAGUCUGCAACUCGACUCCAUGAAGUCGGAAUCGCUAGUAAUCGUGGAUCAGAAUGCCACGGUGAAUACGUUCCCGGGCCUUGUACACACCGCCCGUCACACCAUGGGAGUGGGUUGCAAAAGAAGUAGGUAGCUUAACCUUCGGGAGGGCGCUUACCACUUUGUGAUUCAUGACUGGGGUGAAGUCGUAACAAGGUAACCGUAGGGGAACCUGCGGUUGGAUCACCUCCUUACCUUAAAGAA